CGUGAGGAACCUGCCCCGAAGACCGGGAUAACCCGGGGAAACCCGAGCUAAUACCGGAUACCCUCACCAGAUCGCAUGGUCUGGUGAGGAAAUGUUCUUCGCUUCGGGAGGGCCUCGCGGCCUAUCAGCUUGUUGGCGGGGUAACGGCCCACCAAGGCAUCGACGGGUAGCUGGUCUGAGAGGACGAUCAGCCACACUGGGACUGAGACACGGCCCAGACUCCUACGGGAGGCAGCAGUGGGGAAUCUUGCGCAAUGGGCGAAAGCCUGACGCAGCAACGCCGCGUGGGGGAUGAAGGCUCUCGGGUCGUAAACCCCUUUCAGCAGGGACGAAAUUGACGGUACCUGCAGAAGAAGCCCCGGCCAACUACGUGCCAGCAGCCGCGGUAACACGUAGGGGGCAAGCGUUGUCCGGAUUUAUUGGGCGUAAAGAGCUCGUAGGCGGUUCGGCAAGUUUUAAUACGACUCACUAUAGGGCGAAUUGAAUUUAGCGGCCGCGAAUUCGCCCUUCGGACGGGUGAGUAACGCGUGAACUAAUGGGAUUAGAUACCCCAGUAGUCAGUCACGGACGGGUGAGUAACGCGUGAUAAUGGGAUUAGAUACCCCAGUAGUCUCGGCGGGCGGAUGAGUGCGGGGAGAAUGGGAUUAGAUACCCCAGUAGUC
rnacentral:rRNA from 1 species